GCUGGAGGUAUUGCUCAAUGGUAGAGCACGUGCUUAACAAUCACAAGGCCCUGGAUUCAAAUCCCAGCAGCA
rnacentral:tRNA from 1 species